CCCACCCUUGUUUUAACCAUCUGAGGAGGUAGUUAGGCACUGGAGUUAGCGUUGUGGGUGACUUCGGCCAAGGCCAAGGAGAUAAGGGCAAGGCUCCCAUGUACAGCUGACGGUGGAUGCUGCAAAGGCC